UCGGGGUGCCCAGGCGCGAAAACUUUGCAAUAGGCGAAAGCCUGACAGGGCUAUCCCGAGUGCCAUCCGCUGAGGAAGGCUUUUACCCAGUCUAGAACGCUGGGGGAAUAAGGAGAGGGCAAGUCUGGUGUCAGCCGCCGCGGUAAUACCAGCUCUUCGAGUGGUGUGGAUGUUUAUUGGGCCUAAAGCAUCCGUAGCUGGCUAAGUUAGUCCCUUGUUAAAUCCACCGAAUUAAUCGUUGGAUCGCGGGGGAUACUGCUUGGCUAGGGGACGAGAGAGGCAGACGGUAUUUUCGGGGUAGGGGUGAAAUCCUAUAAUCCCGGGAAGACCACCAGUGGCGAAGGCUGUCUGCUAGAACGCGCCCGACGGUGAGGGAUGAAAGCUGGGGGAGCGAACCGGAUUAGAUACCCGGGUAGUCCCAGCUGUAAACGAUGCAAACUAGGUGUUUGGACGGCCACGUGCCGUUCUAGUGCCGCAGGGAAGCUGUUAAGUUUGCCGCCUGGGGAGUACGAUCGCAAGAUUGAAACUUAAAGGAAUUGGCGGGGGAGC
rnacentral:rRNA from 1 species